GGGUCAGUAGGUUGGUCGUGCCACCGGUACGUACUGGUCUCGCUGAUUCCUCCUUCCUGAAGAACCGUAAUGCCAUUAAUUUGGUGUUGCGGGGAAACAGGACUGUUACUUUGAAAAAAUUAGAGUGUUUAAAGCAAGCUAACGCUUGAAUACAUUAGCAUGGAAUAAUGAAAUAGGACGAUCGAUCCUAUUUUGUUGGUCUCUAGGAUUGACGUA
rnacentral:rRNA from 1 species